rnacentral:tRNA from 2 species
GGGCAGGUACCAAAGUGGUUAAAUGGGACGGGCUGUAAACCCGUUGCGGAAACGCUUCGAAGGUUCGAAUCCUUCCCUGCCCA